UAAAAUUACAUUUCCAAGAAUAAUCUUGGAACAAGACAAGUUUUUGUUCAAUUAAUUGUGGCUGGAAACUUUUUAAUGGAAACAUAGCACACACUUACUUCAUUUCAGAUUAUUAAAUUGUGUUAAGCGUUAAAGUUAGUUGCCGUUCUUUGCUGUAGCUUGUUUGUUCUUUUCAAUCCAGAGAAAUAUUAGAAGGUUAAAACUUAUCACAUAGGAGGGAUUAAUCAUGCUACCAAAAUUAGACAGCAUGUAGUUCUGAGAGACUGAAUGUCAAAAUUGUGUGCUCGUAGCCCUUAAACUAUUGAGAGUCUAGGACCCACUACUAUAUUUAAAAUGAUAGUUCAUGUCUGUGGAAACCCUGGAUGUUUAGGAGCUGGUAAAGCUGGGGUUCUCUUACUCUUUGAUUAAGGGCACCACUUUCAGAUAAAAACAUAGACCUGAAUGGCAUCAUCCAGUAUCCAAGGAAACCAUAUUUGUUGGCUGUCCUCCUCCCCAUUAGUGCCUUGUAUGGAGUAAAGUGUAGCCAAUAAUGCUUACUGAAUGAACACACACAUAUAUGUCUUUUCCUCUCAUCUGGAAAGCAGCUUCACCUUUCAUAAAAGUACCGGCAAGAGGAAAGAAAUGACAGUAAGACUGAAUUAUGAACUUUAAAAAGUUGAGAACAAGUACCUACUUGUACUGUGAAAGCUGCUGUCUCUGCUCUUGAUGAACUGUCUGCAGUAGGUCAGUGGUGAGCACCGCGUGCCGUGGCGAUGAUUGUUGUAGCAGGCAGGCAGGUGGGGGACCCAAAGAGAGGAGUUUCUUUUAGUCCUCUCUUUAAUACGGGGAUUAUCCAAACUCUGCUUUAAUAAAAUGGCUUAUUUCCUAGACUUGCUUCCAAUAUCAUCUGUAGAUCAUAAUUAGCUUUGUGUGUGUGUUUGUGCUGGGGUGGGGGCUGUGAGAGGGAGAGGUAUGUGUGUGUGUAUGUGUGUGUGUAAAUAUAUGUAUAUAUUUCACUGUAUAUAUGAGAUUAUCUAUAUGCACAGUUUCAUCUAUAAUACACACACAUAGAUACACACACAUACACAGUGAUUUAGAUAUUGAUCUCCUAUUGAAUUUUCUCCAUAGAGGUAAGUACUAAUAUCCCUCUCUUAGACGAACUUGAGGUCAGAGCAGUUAACUAAAUUAUAAGUUAGGUAACUUGCCCAAAGUCAAAAAGCUGGAAAGUAGUGGAAUUCCAACCCAGGCCUGACUGAACCCCAUAGUCCAGAACACACACUUACUACUCUCUUUUUCUCUUCUCCCCUUGCUCCUUGCCUUCCUCUCAUUCUUCCCUUUCUGGUCUUUUACUGAAGAAUCAAAUGAUUCACAAAGGAAAUAUAAUAAAAUAAUUAAAAAUGACUUAAAUCCAUUAAAAAGAUAUCACAUAGCCAAAGGGAAGACUGGGAUAAGAAUGAAAACACAGUGAGACUAGAUGUGAAUUUAAUGACAAUGAUGACUGAUUUCCUAGCAGCCACGCUGAAGAAAGUAACUAGAAGAGCCAUUCAUCUCACAAACCAGUUACUCAGAAGUGAUGAAAACAAUGUCACCAUUUAUACAGCUUGUUUUUUAUGGUGGUCUUUGGUUAUGAUAUUUGGUACAAGCCUCGGAUGAUCUGGCUUAAUUUCUUACUUUAUCUGUAUAAUCUCAUGUAUAGGUUCAUGCAUGGUGCCCACACAGACAUCUUGGCACAAAGAAACAAAAUAUUGAGGAAUGGGUCCAUACCUCAGACCUAGUGUUCGUCCUUCCUGGAGAGACAAGCAGUCACCUCUGAGAAAUAACCGUCGAUUUUCAUCUAGAUCUUUCCACAUUCUGGGAAUGGAGUGUUUGCAUCAGGAAUGAACAAAUCACAAAUGAACGCCAUUUUGUGUUUUGGUUACAUGGGAUGACUCAGAGAGAUGAGUGUUUUCAAGAAGAAUUUGCAGACUAAAGAUCUGCUAUAUGGAGUAGAAAACUAAGGAAAUACGCUUCCUCCAAGAGAUGAUUUCCUGCUGCAUUUUGCAUCCGUGCUUUUUCCAUUGUAUCUUCCUUUCUUAAGCCUAGAUUGACCUAUUAAUUUAAAAGGCUGGAUCUUUCCUAGUGUGCUCGGAAACCCAACCUGAGUAACCAGACACUUGCACAAGUGAUUUUAUCGAGUGUGUUCUGUUUAUUUGACUGUCCCUACUUGCUCCUUAUAAUUAAAUUCUUAUGCCCACCAAAGGACGACACCAUGUGCUUCGUAUUGUCCUACCGGACAUCGAAAUGGAUUGUUUAUAACGUUUCCACCAUUACCAAACCUCUUUGUGACCUUUUGGAGCUGCUUGCCCUGAACUUACGGACAUCUGUUUGGCUGUAGGAUGGAAGUCAAUAGGAGGGAGGGUUUCAAAACUUGAAAGAGCUGAGUAAGAUUUCACUGACUUAGCAUUUGUCCUCUUUGCACUAUGGUUCACUGGCACAGUUUUUCUAAAAGGGAAGCAUUAGGGAAAGUUUAUUCUGUCAGAUUCCAUGCUGCAUGCUGGAGCCUACAGAUUUGGCCCUCGCUCUUGGGGAGUUCACGUUCUUUUGGGAAGGAAAAGACAUACCCAUAUCACUAGGAUCUGAGGAGAAUUAAAAUGAGAAUGAAAAAUACUGGUCUCAAGUGGUAACUGAGUACAUCUGCAUGAAGUCUUUGCUUUCCUGCUUACCACACAACCGACGGAAACAGGGACUGGAAAAAAAAUGACCAUUUAAAAAUAGUUUACAUUCUAUGAAGAAUGCCUUGGAUGUACAGAAAUAAGGACACUGCUGGAAUCUCAGAGAGAAGUGGAAGCCUUGUAUCUUUUGAGUUCAGAGUUGAAAUAAAGGAAGAAUCUGUGAAAAGUAGGAACAGUUUAGGAGACCUGUGGACAGACUUUCAAAAAAGCAAAUGUGAAGUUUCAACCUGACUAGCUGUUUAAGUACCAGCAAGCAUGAGCCUUCAACUGAGAUCAAGAGGACAUGACAAGGCUUGGGAACCACUGGAGAUUUUGAAAUGAUCUAUUUGUUGAUCAGCACCUUGGAUCCUAAAUUUGUCACCAGCUUCAGAUUUAUCUCCCAAGCCAGUAUUUUGGGAAGUUAUUAUAAUUUAAGGCCCAAUAAUGAUCGGUCAUUCCCUGGACUCCAACUUCUGUUUCAUCUCCAACAUACAGAGUAGAGAAGAAAUGAACUGCUACAUGGAGAUUGCUGUCUUCUACUUUAUCAAGACAGUGGUGUACCUUCACUUUUUCUUUCUGGGGCAUGUGAUUCAAGAAGAAGCAGAGUCUUAUUACAGAAUUGAAACCAAGGCAUGUCAGGAGUAUACAGAUAUCUCUCCUCUGAACUUUGAAGGAGAUUGUUUGCUGCUAACAUAAAAAUAAAACUGUUUACAAAUCAUUAGCUUUUAAAAAAAAUGACCUCUACAUUGUGAGGCACUCUGCCUGUUGGACAAAUACAAAAAGAAUCGAUUCUUGCAUAGCUCUUGACUAAAGAGCUUUAAUGAAUAACCACCUGCAGAGCUUGUUAGACUUCUGAGUUAUAUGUAUGGUUUAUAAUUGCAGCCAUGUGGCAAAUACAACGAGUUGACCAUAUUAAUAGUGAGUUUAUCUACACCAUCUGCUGUCAUAUUGACAUCUACUUUCUUCAACAUAGCAUCCUAUUUAUGUUCUGUUAUUUCUUCUUUUCCUUAUUCAUUUCAAAUCAUCCCCACUGAUAUCUGCACCAUUUCAUGAUAUCAGGAAAAAAAAAAAAAAGGAGGCUUUCGGUGAAGGAGUGGUGGAUGGCAGGGAUAAGUGGUCAAAGGACUCAGUAAAGUCAUAAUUCAUGGAUCCAGAAAACUGUGUAAAAAGGUGAAUCUUCAGCCCAAACAAUCUGCCAGAGUUUUGAAGAAAAAUACGAUGUGAUCAUGUUGCAAAGUAUAUGAAGAAACAGUAUGAAAAGUAAUCUGGCUCAAGCAAUGGAAUCCAGAAAGAAGGAGAUUAUUAUGACUCUGAGCCUAUGGAUGAGUGGGUAUUGUUAUCCCUGAAUUUUAGUCCUUAAGACAAAUGAUAUACCCAGGCAUAGCUGGAAGGUAGAAUGUAGUAUAUGGAAGUGGAUGAAGGACAUGUGCUCAGAACCCUCUUGCCUUUGCAGGAUGUGUUGGCAUAUUGCAAACAUUUGAAAAAUGCCAGAGCCACAGAGCCACUGGCCUCGGAAUUCUCAACACAGAGUUCUAAUGAACCACUGUCAAUUGCUAAGAGAUAGUUUUGACGAAACUUCUUUGUCACACUUGGACUACAACAAGAAAUCCAGAGUGAAAAGCCCACACCCAGUGAAAUCAAUGUGAGCUGAUUCCACUCUAUCUUCCAGUGGAUGAAGGUUUGAAAUAUUUCUGCUCUGCUUUAACAAAAUUCAGAACCUAACUGCUAAACAUGCUCUAUUCUGUCCAGACUCUGGGCCACUGUUUCUGAGCUUAUGUAACAUGACCAAGGAAAUGCAGCUAAUAUGUAGCAGCACUAAGAUUUCUACCUGGCUGUGUGCUGUCUAACCAUGGGACCUCUGUACUUUAUCACCACAAGUACAGCCUUCUGCCUGGAGAUGCUCUCCUUCUUCCAAGACUGAUUUGAUGACUGCUUUUAGAAUUUCAAUCUGUAGAAGAGACUCAAUAGCUGUAAAGGAUGGAAGGGUGCAAAGCAGCUUGGAACUCACAACAAAAGGAAACCAGGACAAAAAAUUUAGAUAAAACAACUUGUGACCAUGGGAUCUGCUCCUUGUGUCUACUGAACAGAGCCCCAUAACAGGCUGGAGAAAGAGGUUUCUGCAAAUGCUCAGUGGGGACAGUGUUACUGCUCAGUUCCUGCUUCUGUUGAAAAGUUACCGUGCAGGUGACAAUCUUCUGUUCUCUCUCCUGAGAAGAGAUAUGCCUGAGUUCUUACAGUACCCUGAGACAUAAUUCACCAUGGCCAGAAUGGAUUUGCUGUACAUAGGAGUCAUCCUUCUAACCUGCCAUGUCCAUAGGUCUCUAAGUCCACUGAUGACAGGAAAAUCUUCAGUGGUUCCAGAGACAAGCUGCUGGAAAUCCUGCACAUUUAUCUUCUAGAAGGAAGUGAGCUGAUUAGGAUAGUGGUCCCUUCAGAAAGAACCUCCCCCGCAAAACUUUAAAGGACUCCAAAUUAAGCCAUGUCCAUUUCUGGGACCCUAAAGUGGCUCAUGAAAGUCAAGGACUACUUGCUUAAUACUAGGUGAUUUCAAAAGCCUUAAGAUUCUAAGGGGAGAGUGAGGAUGGGGAAGGUGAUGGUGAAUAAAUUGGAGAACCUACCAAAUAACAGGGUGUCUCUUUAUUCCAAGCAUCAUUUUCUAUCUCACAUUGUGUCUUUCAAUUA